AAAACUUUAAGUUAAAUAAACUAUUAACCUUCAAAGUUAAAUAUAUAUAUGUAAAUAUAAGUUUUA
rnacentral:tRNA from 1 species